rnacentral:rRNA from 1 species
UACGGGGGGGGCAAGCUUGUUCGGAAUUACUGGGCGUAAAGGGCUCGUAGGUGCCAACUAAGUCAGACGUGAAAUCCCUCGACUCUAACCUGGGGAACUGCGUCUGAUACUGGAUGGCUUGAGUGUGGCAGAGGGAGGUAGAAUUCCACGUGUAGCAGUGAAAUGCGUAGAGAUGUGGAGGAAUACCGAUGGCGAAGGCAGCCUCCUGGGCCAACACUGACGCUCAUGCACGAAAGCGUGGGGAGCAAACAGG